rnacentral:rRNA from 1 species
UACGGAGGGGGCGAGCGUUAUUCGGAAUCAUUGGGCGUAAAGGGCGCGUAGGCGGCCACGUAGUCUGGAUGGGAAGACCCGUGGCUCAACCGAGAUGCCUUGAUACUGCGGGCUCGAGCGGAAGAGGUGAGUGGAAUUCCGUAGUGUAGAGGUGAAAUUCGUAGAUAUUAGGAAGAACACCAGUGGCGAAGGCGGCUCACUGGCCCGGUACUGACGCUGAGGCGCGAAAGCGUGGGGAGCAAACAGGG